GUCUCCUCCUCCAUCACCUCUCCCCAUGCCCCACCCUGUGUGUUUCCUGCCUCGGACUCCUGGAACAUUUUGUCUCCCAGUAAUUAACCGUUUUCUCCCCUAAAGUAGAAAUAGUUCUGCGUACCCCGCUUUCCCCUAGUUAGGCCAUAAGCUUGCAAGGUCGGGAAGCUAUCUUCCCGUGUGUAUAGCCCUAGAAGUUUCUAGCAGAGCAACAGGCUAGUACAAGUGAAAACCACACGCAUCCCACAACAGCGCCUUCUCUCAUGUGGGUGCUGAAGUUGAGGCUUUGAGGAAAAUGAAGAGAAGACAGGCCACUCAAAGGAGACGGAUACGUGCCCAGGCCCCUCCACACGCCCACUGGCCCAGCUUUGCUUCAGAAAAAAAUUUCUGAUAAAAGGAAUCAUAACCUGAGAAACCUGGAGAACAAACAUUUAGAUCCAACAGAGUUGACCUGUGAGUAAAGGGAAAGCUGAGAAUUUUCUACCUCUUCCUCCCUUUGUGAUUCCUUCACAGAGGUCAGCACUGUCUUUGUCCCUUUGUGAUUCAUUCACAGAGGUCAGCACUGUCUUUGCUCCUGGGGACGGUGAGGUCCCAGCACAGCUGCCACCCUUGUCUAACAAUCGCAGAUCUUUAGCUCCUAAGCCAUCGGUCAGUCCUCCGCACUAAUGAUGAAUCAGGCAUUGGGGCUCCAUGCUGGGCCCCACCAGGGCUCUUCUGUCCUUGCAGCCCACUCUCCUCCCCCCUCCCCCUCUCUCCCCAGAACUCACCGAGGGGUCCGGGUGCUCACGGCUGGUGAUGGCAGGGUUCAUGGCAACUCGAGGUCUUCUCCUGUGGGUGUCCUCUCAGGAUAGAGAAGAACUGAAGCCUCUCUAGUAGAGAAAGAUGAACUUCUCAAAGCCUGCUGAAAUAACAAGGAGAAAGGAAGGCUCUGGGGAGGGUGGGGCCUCCAAGCCCCGCCCGCUAAUGGACAACAGACUCCCCCACCGCACCUCAUCCCGCCCCAGUCCUCUCCCUCUCUGGUCACUGCAGGGGACCAAGGUGCGUUCUGCUGUAGCCAGUGUUUCACACUUUGACAGGUUAGGGCAAUUA